rnacentral:rRNA from 1 species
CCCUUAGAUGUUCUGGGCUGCACGCGCGCUACACUGAUGCGUUCAACGAGUUUAUGACCUUGCCCGAUAGGGUUGGGUAAUCUUUUUAAAUCGCAUCGUGAUGGGGAUAGAUUAUUGCAAUUAUUAAUCUUCAACGAGGAAUGCCUAGUAAGCGCAAGUCAUCAGCUUGCGUUGAUUACGUCCCUGCCCUUUGUACACACCGCCCGUCGCUCCUACCGAUUGAAUGGUCCGGUGAAGCGUUCGGACCGUGGCCUUUGGACGGUUCGCCGUCUGUUGGCUGCGGGAAGUUCGUUAAACCUUAUCAUUUAGAGGAAGGAGAANUCGUANCA